UACGAAGGGGGCUAGCGUUGCUCGGAAUUACUGGGCGUAAAGCGCGCGUAGGCGGACCUGCAAGUCGGGGGUGAAAGCCCGAGGCUCAACCUUGGAACUGCCUUCGAUACUGCGGGUCUCGAGUCCGGGAGAGGUGAGUGGAAUUCCUAGUGUAGAGGUGAAAUUCGUAGAUAUUAGGAAGAACACCAGUGGCGAAGGCGGCUCACUGGCCCGGUACUGACGCUGAGGCGCGAAAGCUAGGGGAGCAAACGGG
rnacentral:rRNA from 1 species